GACGAAGGAUUCAAGCGUUGUCCGGAUUUACUGGGCUUAAAGGGUGCGUAGGCGGACGUCUAAGUCAGUGGUGAAAUCCCGCAGCUCAACUGCGGAACUGCCAUUGAAACUGGUCUUCUUGAAUACAGUUGAGGUAGAUGGAAUAUAACAUGUAGCGGUGAAAUGCUUAGAUAUGUUAUAGAACACCGAUUGCGAAGGCAGUCUGCUAAGCUGUUAUUGACGCUGAGGCACGAAAGCGUGGGGAGCAAACAGG
rnacentral:rRNA from 1 species